AAAUUACUCCAGCUGACUUUUUCUAUUUUUUUGAGGAAGAUUAGCCGUGAGCUAAAAUCCACCGCCAAUCCUCCUCUUUUUUUGCUGAGGAAGAUUGGCCCUGAGCUAACAGCCGUGUCCUUCUUCCUCUACUUUAUAUGUGGGACACCUGCCACAGCAUGGCUUGACAAGCAGUGCAUAGGUCUGUGCCUGGUAUCUGAACUGGCGAACCCCGGGCCGCCGAAGUGGAACGUGUGAAUUUAACUGCUGCACCACCAGGCCAGCCCCCAGCUGACCUUUAACUCAUAUGAACCACAAAAGGAAAGUGUGAGUCAGAGGGUAGUGUGGGAGAGACCCCAAGCC
rnacentral:lncRNA from 1 species